ensembl:lncRNA
AAGUGUUUACUGAAAGCUGCUUUCACCACCUCUAUCUUGCUGGUAGCUCUGUCCUUACCCUGUAGUAGCAGCAGGUUGGGGACAAGCCCAGGGUGUGCUGAUGCUCUGUGCAGACCCAAGGAAUGGAGCUGAUGGUGCUGGCACCAGAUGUGCCACUCCUGGCUGAGCCACAGACUAUCCUGUGGGAUGGUGCUUCAGGUGACUGCAGCUUUUAAGGGAGGAGGAGCCUGCUGGACCCCUCGGCAAUUUGGAUGCUGGGAGAUGCUCUCCUGCUGUCCCCCUCUUCAGAAGGAAAGGAGGAGGUCACAGACUGGAAAAAUAAGUUGCAGCUGUGAAUGCAGGCAGAGAUGUGCUGUGGAAGAGAUGUUUCUGCACAGUUUUUUUUCAUAUCUAAGGCAUGAGGGAUGAUGAAUCACCUGAAUGGAAGAUAAAGUUGGGAAGGAGUCCAGUUGGUCAUCUCAUUUUCUGCUGGCAGUGAUCAUGGGACUUGUACAUUCCCACAGAUUUUCUCCAAGAAAUGAAGUACAUUCACUUAGCAAUUUCAGUCCAUCUGAGUAUUAUGCAUGUUCAUGACUCAAAUGAUGUGUGACCACAUUUUUAUAACAAUAUUUAAUAGACAUUAGACCUAGAAAAGAACUCUGCCUAAUCCUGUUAAAUAACAGCAAGGAUAUUUUUCAGGCUAUAUAUCAAAUGCUUCCCACAAUGGGAAACUUCAUCAUUACUCUGUAAGCCAGAUAAACAAUCAGCCACACUCCAAAAAAGCUUAACUAUAAGGUGUAUGUUGUGAUACACAAAUCAAAAUGUAAUUGCUACCAGCCUGCCUGUUUGCUUGCGGCCACGCAACAUCCCUUUUAGAAGCUCCAUGCAUUAAAAAUGCAAUUAUGGAAACAAUUUAUAAUCAAUAUGUGGUUAUUAGGGCAACCUGCACGUAUGGGAUAUUUUAUAGCAAUUAUAAUCCUAGCAGUCCUUUCUGAGAAUGAAAUUUGCAUCCAGCUUCUCCCUUUCAGGUUUCAGUCCUAGCACUGCCACCUACUGCUCAGAGAACUUUGAAAACUGUAUUUAUUAUUUGUUAGGGGGAGCUGAGGAAUUUUCAGAGCCCAUCAUUUGCAGAUGGGCUUGAACGCAGGCUUAUAUAGGGUGAGGGUUGAGGGGGGAGACUGUUGCAAAAGCUCAGUGGUCUCUGAUAAAUCUCCCUGCGUUUACAUGGCUGAGACCAGAAGGAAAAAAUACAAGUAUAGAUUCCUCAUUUGUAAUCCCUCAUUACUGAAAAGAGGUGUUAUCCUGAUCACUCCUCCUUUAUAGCACUUCCAUUUAAUAGCUGGUGGGGGGGUGUCUGAGCUACAAUGAAUGCUGAAGAGUUAUACUGGCUUCUGUAAGCUGAACUUCUGGCCCAGAAUUGUCCAGACAAAAAGUAUGCAGAAGUACUUUUUCAUUUCAGAGACAAAAGAGAAAAAAAAAAAAGGCUUUUGCCAACCACGCCCACAGUCUUGCUUAUUUCUUUGUGAUGGGGAGGUUCAGUCUUCCAAGAAUAAUUAAGUUUGUUAAUGAAGAACGUUAAGGGCAAGUGAACCUGGUUCUUAGUAUCUCUGGUGCAAGGGCUGAUUGGAUUCUGGCACUUUGCCAGCUUUGCCAGGCCACUGCUGUCAAGGCAAGGUACCAAGGAUAGGCUUUAAGAUCCUCAAAACAAGGAAAAUGUGUAAAAUCGUGGCUGUUAGAAUUGAUCUGCGGUUUUGGGGAGGAUUAAAAUGCAUCUUUCUCUGGUGGUACCACCAGAGGGGUUUUGUGCCUUGCUCUUCCCCAGCACCAAUCUCCUUUCCAUUAAAGUAGCCUGUGGGGGGUGUGGGCAACCUCUGUGGGGUGCCUUUUUCUGAGCCAAAAGGAAAGUUGUCUGGCCAACAAGCUUCAGUUGCAGGGAAGAAGGGUAUGAAAUGUUGUACUGGAUUGGCUGAGGUUUGGGGUUGCUUCCAGCUGGAGAUUUAUUACAGCAUAAGGGGUGAAAGGAAGCAAACACUUUUUUUGGCUGAAAAUGACUAUUUUGCCAACUGUUUUGUUAUUAAAAUAAACUCAGAAAUAGAAG